GAUGAACGCUGGCGGCGUGCCUAAUACAUGCAAGUCGAGCGAACAGACGAGGAGUUUGCUCCUCUGACGUUAGCGGCGGGCGGGUGAGUAACACGUGGAUAACCUACCUAUAAGACUGGGAUAACUUCGGGAAACCGGAGCUAAUACCGGAUGAUAUAUUGAACCACGGGGUUCAAUGGUGAGAGACGGUUUUUCUGUCACUUCUAGAUGGAUCCGCGCCGUAUUAGCUAGUUGUUGGGGUAACGGCUUACCAAGGCGACGAUGCGUGGCCGACCUGAGAGGCUGAUCGGCCACACUGGAACUGAGACACGGUCCAGACUCCUACGGGAGGCAGCAGUAGGGAAUCUGCCGCAAUGGGCGAAAGCAUGACGGAGCAACGCCGCGCGAGUGAUGAAGGUCUUCGGAUCGUAAAACUCUGUUAUUAGGGAAGAACCGAUGUGUAAGUAACUAUGGACGUCUUGACGGUACCUAAUCAGAAAGCAACGGCUAACUACGUG
rnacentral:rRNA from 1 species